rnacentral:lncRNA from 1 species
UUCUGACUCCGGAUUUUCUAUGAUUUGAAGUGGGAGAACAUUAAUUUACAUGCAAGACUCUUAUUUUGAAACUAAUUUACUCAAGAUCGGUGAAUCCAUAGUUGAGGCAAUUAUCAGGAUGCCACUAGGGGCUGCUGCUGUUCUGAAGUGAUUGUUCUCUGAUGUUUUCUGGGGGCACUCAAACAUGUUCUUGGUAGAUACUUUAAUUGGACUGUUUUACUAAGCAAUUUUUCACGAUGGUCACUUUUAGGGUAAUAGUGCCUUUUGAAGAGCAAAAUAAUAUAUUAUUUUUUAAUCUCUUGUACCUACUGAAUGAUUAGGAACCUAAUUAUUUUGUGCUAACUUUUAGCUAGGCUCAUGGGCCUGGGUGCAGGGUCAGUUCCUUCUCUGUAAAGAAGGAGAGCACUGCCUACAGUUUCUGGAUUACUCUGUGAGGUGAUGAGGAAGCUUCUAAAUGUGCAGCUGCUGCUAAUAAUGGUGUGAACAUUGCAGAUGGCCUGGUUGGUGGUAUGGUGACACUUAUUACACCAUGGUGAAGCAUUAGAACUUCUGGAGCUUACUUAAUCAGAGGCUGUUGAGGAGCAGAGGGGGGGGGGGGGGGACUGCUCCCAUGAAUGCUGUGCAGGUGUGUAACUACACGGAGGUGUCUGAGAUAAUGGGGCAAGUGGCCUACUUAAGAGGGAGUGCUAGUGAAUAAGACACAUACAGUACACCUGUGUGUGAUACUGAAAAGAUGAAUGGUUCUCUUAUGCUCUGAUUUAUUUCACAAAAUCUUUAAAUAUGUCAUGCUUUGUGUGCUGUUAUCUAGGCUUCUUUUUCAGUCUACGUAAUGGGAACAUGUUUCUACCACAAAUUCAAGUUUAAUUGGGUAGAAGUCAUUUUCCAGGUUUAGUUUGCCUUUGUUAAGCUUUUCAUUUACUUUCUUUAUUUGAGAAUGAUACAAAAUAGCUUUUACAGACUGCGUAGCAAAGGAAGUAAUAAUAAAUGAAAGCUUUACUUAUGAAAUUGUUUUUCCCUACAAAGCAGCUCCCUUCCACGUUUGAAGUACUGCUUCCAAUAGCUGCUGCUGAUCUGCUCUACAAAGAUGCGGCAGGACAAAUACAUUCCUACGUGUGUGGAAAAAAAACGGACCAUAUUCUUGUUCUUUUCAGAGGUUAUCGUAUAUAUACUUCAACUGGGCCAAGGAAACUACUUAAUAAAUCUCCAAAU